AUUAGUGAGUCUAUCUAUCUGCUGUACUGUAGGGGGACCUCAAGGACCACAAAUACUCAGUUACACUUUUGAUCAGAAGCCACACAAUAUAUGACACUCCCACCUGCAAUUUUAUAGCUCUCUAACUACACUGACAGUUAUAUUAGACCUGUUGCAGUCACUGAAUUGCAGAACAUGGGCCACAAACCAGGUCUCCUGAGCUUUUUAAUACUCCUGCUCUGCAUACAAGGUCUAAUUGCUGGUGAUGAUGUCACCCAGACUGAGAUACUGUGGGAAAAACAGGGGGAGAGUGCAACAAUGAACUGCAACCACACCAAGGGUUCCGACUACUUCCAGAUGUACUGGUACAGACAGCUGCCAGGAGAAACAAUGAAACUAAUCGUGUUCACAACAAUUGUCAACAAAGAUCACGAUUUUGGAGAUUUCACUAAAGAGAAAUUCUCAGCCACCAAGCCUAACGCUGAGAGUGGGACAUUCACAGUGAAGAAUCUGGAGCCAGAAGAUAAAGGCUUGUAUUUCUGUGCUGUGAGUAAACACAGUGAUACAGACACAUUCAACAGCUGAACAAAAACCCCAGUGCACCGUUGGCUCUAUUAGUGAGUCUAUCUGCUGUACUGUACGGGGACCUCAAGUACAAUCUAGGGCUAGAUCCCAAUAUUCGUCACAAUGAAUAAAAGACAGCUGUGUCUUUAAUUAUCUGUAGGGGGAGCUCUAGACACGUAGACUGUGCUAAGAUUUGUGGUUAGUAUUCAGUGUAAUUCAUGGCUUUUACACUGGAGCGUAGCAACAUUAAAUAUGUUUUUUUUUUACGGCAGUAAUAACGUCACAGUAAAUGUGAAAUUAACAUAAUUGUACUCCAUACUACUGAACAGGUGUCCUGGCAUUUGUAGAAUCUAAUUCAGUGCUGAGCUGAUUUAAUUAUGUACACUUCUUACUGCAUGCAUUAUGUUUCUCUUUAUUUUCAGUAGACAUUUCUAUUUGCCUUUUCAUGCAUUGCAGAACUGCAUUGAACCACUCUCUUCGAUGGUUACAAUGAAUGUAUUCUGUGACAGACAACUGAAUACAGAAUCUAGAAUAAAAAACAUGUUAUCGAUAAACUACCAUCCCCUCUGUGUCUACUGCCAAAGAUAGGGACUUGCACCUGACAGCAACAGGACCCAAGCACAAUUUAAUACACUCUGUUUGACUACCAACACAUGUUAAUUGAGACAAAUGUAGACAGAUUAAGUGUGAAUUGUCAAAUAUCCGGAGUGUGUGUCGUCUCACAGUUAUGAUGACACACCUUCUUACAGAAAGCACCAUCAUGUGACAGGAUGAUGUGAUGCUGAGAUCAGCUGCUUUGUUGAAUGCCUCACUGUCAUCUGUCACAUCUGUUCAGCAGAUGUGACAGAUGACAGUACAGAGGGGCCAGUCUGCUCAGAUGAACUGCAGUUUGGAUAUUCAUAGCAAAUACUAUCAGAUGUACUGGUAUCAACAGUUGCCAGAGGAAAGGGAGGAAAGUGAUCGCCAGGCAGCCAGACUUUUAGGAUUUUAGC